rnacentral:lncRNA from 1 species
AACGGAUACAGUAUUGUCUCUGAUUUUAGUGAGGUAUAUAGAUGAGGUGAUGUUUUAAGUCACUGAUAAUGCAAGUUGAUCCUUGAGCAGAGAUUGUUGUAUCAGGAAUUUGCACAGCGGCAGGAGUGUGCAGCUGCACCCGGGCAAUUCAUCUGGGCAGAGCUUACAGAGAUCUCAGAUUUGGCCUGUUCUUUUCUGUAAAGAGCUUGACACUCAUACUGAGCUACCUUGAAGGAUUCAAAAAUAGAAACUGAUAACUU